rnacentral:rRNA from 1 species
CAGCAGCCACGGGAAUACGGAGGGAGCUAGCGUUGUUCGGAAUUACUGGGCGUAAAGCGCACGUAGGCGGUUAUUCAAGUCAGAGGUGAAAGCCCAGUGCUCAACACUGGAACUGCCUUUGAAACUAGAUAACUUGAAUCCAGGAGAGGUGAGUGGAAUUCCGAGUGUAGAGGUGAAAUUCGUAGAUAUUCGGAAGAACACCAGUGGCGAAGGCGGCUCACUGGACUGGUAUUGACGCUGAGGUGCGAAAGCGUGGGGAGCAAACAGGAUUAGAUACCCCCGUAGUCCCUGUCUCUUAUAC